GGGAGGAAUAUUGGCACAGAAAUGGAAGCCAAGAGAAUAUAUCCUUUUAGAAGGGAUAGGAGGGAAGGAUCCAGCUGGAUUACAAUGAGUUGCCCAGGAGAUUUUUUGCAGACACAAGUAGACUGCCCUGGUGUGUAGCAUAGAGCCACCAGGAGAAGUUGACAGUGGGCAUAUUCAUCGUCCUUUUGAUGUGGAGCAGUUGGUUAGGGACCGAGCCCCAAUCAAGCAUCUGCCUCUAAAACAAGCUUCUUUCCACUUACUGAAUUCUACGGGCAGGUUGCUUACUUACGCAUUAACAGAUUCCUUUAAUUUCAACUGAUUAACCCUCUCGCACCAAGUCACUCCCCAACCCACCCCUCAAAAAAGAAUCAGAGACCUUUCUUGCCUGACCUGAACUUGUUCAAGCAGCCGCAGCUUCCCUCUGAAGCCAGGCUUCCCAAGCUGCCCUGUGUGUAAGCCUUUAGGUCGUAUUUCCCAGCUAAGGCCAGGAAUCAUGCUUC
rnacentral:lncRNA from 1 species